rnacentral:tRNA from 2 species
UCCCUGUUCGUCUAACGGUUAGGAUAGGGCACUUUCACUGCUCAGGUCGGGGUUCGAUUCCCCGGCAGGGAA